rnacentral:rRNA from 1 species
AUUGAACGCUGGCGGCAGGCCUAACACAUGCAAGUCGAACGGUAACAGGACGACGCUUGCUUCUUUGCUGACGAGUGGCGGACGGUUGAGUGAUGUCUGGGAGACUGCCUGAUGGAGGGGGAUAACUACUGGAAACGGUAGCUAAUACCGCAUAACGUCGCAAGACCAAAGAGGGGGACCUUCGGGCCUCUUGCCAUCGGAUGUGCCCAGAUGGGAUUAGCUAGUAGGUGGGGUAACGGCUCACCGAGGCGACGAUCUCUAGCUGGUCUGAGAGGAUGACCAGCCACACUGGAACUGAGACACGGCCCAGACUCCUACGGGAGGCAGCAGUGGGGAAUAUUGCACAAUGGGCGCAAGCCUGAUGCAGCCAUGCCGCGUGUAUGAAGAAGGCCUUCGGGUUGUAAAGUACUUUCAGCGGGGAGGAAGGGAGUAAAGUUAAUACCGUUGCUCAUUGACGUUACCCGAAGAAGAAGCACCGGCUAACUCCGUG